UUGUCAGUGUCAGUUUUAGUGCAGGAGGUUUUUGUACAGCCGCUGAUUGGGUUUGUAUCACUGUGGUGGACGUUCGGUGGAGGAACUCGACUCUCAGUUGGAACUGCCGCUCGUCCCACUCUCACGGUCCUGCCGCCCUCCAGAGACGAGCUGCAGCAGGGUAAGGCUACAGUGGUGUGUGUGGGCAGUAAGGGAUUCCCCUCUGACUGGAAGCUGAGCUGGAAGGUGGAUGGCAGCAGCAGGAGCUCUGCUGUGAAUCUGAGUCCCAGUGUGCUGCAGAAGGAUGGACUGUACAGCUGGAGCAGCAGCCUGAGCCUCACUGAGAGUGAGUGGAGCAGAGCAACAACCAUCAGCUGUGACGCCACGCACCCAUCCCAGAAUGCAGUGACCGAGAGCCUGAACACACAGCAGUGUGAUGACCAGUGAAACACACACACACAUCACA